ACACCUGGCCCAUUUGGGCCCUGGACCAAGCCCAAAGGCCCAUACAUCCCACAAAAAAAAAAUUUGAAGAAGACUCCCUUCCUCUCGACCGGCUCCUAAUCAGAGUCGGAAAACACCCCGGAGAGGAGUCAAACUCCUCCCCUUCCAGCCCUAUUUAAGGAGGAGAUCUCUCCUCUCCCCUCCCAUCAAGAAAUUGAGGGCAAAACGAUGA
rnacentral:lncRNA from 1 species